rnacentral:tRNA from 2 species
GGCGGCGGUCUCGCCGGCAGCGAGGCGGCCUGGCAGCUUGCCCCGCGCCGGCGUCCCCGUGCCCUUGCAAGAGACGUGGCCGGCAAAGCCGUCCACGCCGGUUCGAUUCCGGUCCGCGCUUCCA